GAAAGAUGGCUUUGGCUAUCACUCUGGGAUGGACCUGCGGUGCAUUAGCUAGUUGGUAAGGUAACGGCUUACCAAGGCGAUGAUGCAUAGCCGAGUUGAGAGACUGAUCGGCCACAAUGGAACUGAGACACGGUCCAUACUCCUACGGGAGGCAGCAGUAGGGAAUCUUCCACAAUGGGCGCAAGCCUGAUGGAGCAACACCGCGUGAGUGAAGAAGGGUUUCGGCUCGUAAAACUCUGUUGUUGGAGAAGAACGUGCGUGAGAGUAACUGUUCACGCAGUGACGGUAUCCAACCAGAAAGUCACGGCUAACUACGUGCCAGCAGCCGCGGUAAUACGUAGGUGGCAAGCGUUAUCCGGAUUUAUUGGGCGUAAAGCGAGCGCAGGCGGUUGCUUAGGUCUGAUGUGAAAGCCUUCGGCUUAACCGAAGAAGUGCAUCGGAAACCGGGCGACUUGAGUGCAGAAGAGGACAGUGGAACUCCAUGUGUAGCGGUGGAAUGCGUAGAUAUAUGGAAGAACACCAGUGGCGAAGGCGGCUGUCUGGUCUGCAACUGACGCUGAGGCUCGAAAGCAUGGGUAGCGAACAGGAUUAGAUACCCUGGUAGUCCAUGCCGUAAACAAUGAGUGCUAGGUGUUGGAGGGUUUCCGCCCUUCA
rnacentral:rRNA from 1 species